ACGAGUAGGGCUACACACGUGCUACAAUGGCGCAUACAAAGAGAAGCGACCUCGCGAGAGCAAGCGGACCUCACAAAGUGCGUCGUAGUCCGGAUCGGAGUCUGCAACUCGACUCCGUGAAGUCGGAAUCGCUAGUAAUCGUGGAUCAGAAUGCCACGGUGAAUACGUUCCCGGGCCUUGUACACACCGCCCGUCACACCAUGGGAGUGGGUUGCAAAAGAAGUAGGUAGCUUAACCUUCGGGAGGGCGCUUACCACU
rnacentral:rRNA from 1 species